rnacentral:piRNA from 1 species
UGGAGUGGAGAAUCAUAGAACUACAAA